rnacentral:rRNA from 1 species
AACGAACGCUGGCGGCAGGCUUAACACAUGCAAGUCGAGCGCCCCGCAAGGGGAGCGGCAGACGGGUGAGUAACACGUGGGAAUCUACCCAUCCCUACGGAACAACUCCGGGAAACUGGAGCUAAUACCGUAUACGCCCUUUGGGGGAAAGAUUUAUCGGGGAUGGAUGAGCCCGCGUUGGAUUAGCUAGUUGGUGGGGUAAAGGCCUACCAAGGCGACGAUCCAUAGCUGGUCUGAGAGGAUGAUCAGCCACAUUGGGACUGAGACACGGCCCAAACUCCUAUGGGAGGCAGCAGUGGGGAAUAUUGGACAAUGGGCGCAAGCCUGAUCCAGCCAUGCCGCGUGAGUGAUGAAGGCCUUAGGGUUGUAAAGCUCUUUCACCGAUGAAGAUAAUGACGGUAGUCGGAGAAGAAGCCCCGGCUAACUUCGUGCCAGCCGCCGCAGUAAAAC